GUCAUGGCGAAUGUUUUUUCGAGUCGUUUUCUUCGCGCUCGCGAAGAGAACGCUUGGAGUUUGCACUGAGAAAAACAAAAAGUUUGUUAAACAGGCUCGAUUUUGUAUUGCUCGAGCAACAUAUUCAGUUGGAUGCUGACACCAAAAAUAUUUCCGAUGUAAUCCCAAGAAGUUUGCAGUUUUUCGGACAAAUUAUUUCCUGAAUAACAAAGCCGUGUUGACGCUGUCAAAUCUCAUCGAGUUAAUGCACCUGCAUGACCCCAGGUCAUUUUUGACAUCGAAUAUCUCGGUAACUAUGCGCUUUUCGGAAUAAAAGGUUUAGUCACCUUUUGCAGUGAAUCGAUCCAACUUUAAGGCUGCAAAGUCGAAUUUCCAAAAAAAUCUUUUUUCAUUGUUGAAAAACGUGCUCAAAGUUGAUAGUGCGCGUAAAAAGCACUUUUUCGGUUAAAUCUCUCGUAAAAAAUGGAAUUUUGAGUUUUGAAAAAAAUCCUUACAGAGUUUUACGGACAAGGGUCCAUGCUUUAAGGGAAAAAUAGUCCACUUUGCAACCCUUCCAAAAAGUAUUGGGGGUUUUGCUUAUGAAAUGCUCAUCUGUAAAUGCUAUUCAUGUGAGAAAAAAAUGUUGGGGUCAACCUGACCCCAGAUGCACACUAAGGGUUAAUCAACCCAACGAUCGACUCGCAGCUCAUUCGAUGAUUGCGAUUCGAACGAGGAUUUUUUGAUGCUCCUGAAAAGUGGGUUUGAGACAAUCGAAAAUGCCAGUUGUUUCAAACAAACUCUUUUGGUCCCAACGAUUUUUUAAAUUCGUUUAUAAAAAAUAUUCAUAAUUUACUCGAAUGAAGAAAAAAAAUCGUGGACCCACCCCGUGUGUUUCCCAUCGAACCGGAUUCAGUUCAAUGAACCUUUUUUUUCCACGUUGUAAAUUUUUAAACCGGAAACUAAGUUUUAGCAAGAAUACGCGUUCGAUGAAUCCGUGGUCUCAAUGGAAAGAAAAACAAAUUUUUUGUCCACUCCGAAUGUGAUUUUCACUGUACGAAGUUUAAAAUUGCACACUGGAAAAAAGGACAGCGCGUUUGUCCUUUUACAUCGGCGGUAUUACUUUGUGGGAAACAAGAUUGCUUUAUGGUCAGGAUUGCAAUGAGAAAUAAACAAAGUUCACGUCUCAUUAUGGACGAAAUGCAUUUGUGCAACGUUUAUGACAAUUUAUAGGCGAUAACUUUGGAGGUCUGAGCGUUCGCUCAAAACGUGUUAUUCGGCCUGCAUUUUUUCUGGUCUCAUUUAACUUUUCCUCAACCGCAGUCAUCGCUGCUUCAAGAGACCGAGACCGAGCUGAGUUGUAAAAAAAGCACGCACUCCAGCUCUCAAAAGUGCUCUUCAAAACUACCGAAUUAUCAUGAGUUUGCUUUGCACGAGGAAACAUUGCGAAAUCAUUUCUCGUGUUACACGUCAGAGAUUUUGCGAGCUGACAACAACGUCCGCAAAACUAUAAAUCAUAUAAAACCACUGAAAUCCUUUUUACGCAUUCAAUAAUAUUGAAUUGCAAAUGAACUAAACCCGAAGAUACUUUCGCCGCGGUGACGCUUACACGAUUAUUUUAGCUGCUCCAAGUUGGCGAUCGAUUUAGUUUCGAAGGGACUUGAGCUUGUCAAGGUCGUUCAGCUUGAGCGGAGCUCUCGGAACCUUAAAGCCCUUCUCAAUAACUUUAGAUAAGGUUCGCAGGUCAUUGAAUUUCAUGUUCUCGAAAUGCUGCAGAAAAGCAAUAUCGACUCGAUUAUAUCUUUAUCGCUCAUCCGUGAGGAGAUCGUCCACCCGUUCAAUUACGACCGGAGGAUCUUUUGCUCAAAAUCAAUUGACCACGAUACUAAACGAUGCUGGAAUCUAAAACUGUCGAAAAAAUGUGCUUCCAACGUGCAAUCGCCUUAACGAAGUCAUGGAUGAUGGACCCGUUGACCUCCAAUGUAACAGCAAUGUCAAGCAAUUUGUAAAGAUUUUACACACAGGGUACCACAGAGGCUGGGAAGGUCUCGUGAGGAAACCAGCAAUGAAAACCUUUCGGAGCGGUGUAAGAACGGAGAGGAAAAAAACAUGAAAAUUUUUUGUUUUGCCACAAUUAUCCAGCCUCCACAUGCAUGUUUUGUUUGAUUUAUUUCGUUCGCCAGUUUCCUCGAGUUCGUUGGAAAAAUACGCGUUGCUUAUUGUCAGGAGGCACGUCUUCGACGAGAGUAAUCACGGGGAAACGUGCCGCUCGGAUAAAGCGAUGCAACGAUUUAUUUUUCGUAGGAAAAGGAAACUUCCGGGCUCAAACGCAUGUAAACACAAACGUUCGAUAAACAAGCUGAGACAGUAAGGUUUUGAAAUUUUGCACAAUUUUCGAGUCGCACUUUUAGCAAGUAUUUCCGUAGCUUGGUUGAUUUGGAAAAUAUUUUUUUAUUCCGUUUCCUCAAGAAAUUUUACGAUAAUUAUAGAUUUUUGAAUUUUUUCGUGAUUUGGAGUUUAAAUAUAAAUGAAAAGACUUUUUUACAGCCACCGAUUCCCAGCUAUGAUCGUUAGUUAAAAAAAAUGUUCUCCUUCAUUUCGAUUCUUCAAGCCAAAAGUAUUCUACUCGCUGCAAACUUUCUCAGGAAAUAGAGCAACGAGGAACAGUGAUUCAAAUAAAAAAACGAAAUGAAAUUAAGGAACGCGGUUUUCAUCACGUUUUAUACAUGCGUGAAGCAACAUUGUUUUUUCACUUCGUUGAAAUAUCAUAACAACGAGAUGCUUUGGAAAAACCUUCGAUUAGUUUCCACAAAGUUCAACAUAUCGUUUUGGAAUAAAAAUUUCGAGAUAAAAGUUCUAUGGAA